rnacentral:lncRNA from 1 species
UGACUGUCAGGCCACCUUAAGCCACAGUACGGAAGAAGCUGUGCUGCCUGUGAGCCCCGUCCAAGGACGUUAAAAGAAGAAGUCAGGCCCCAAAGCCACGGUUUGAGCAAACCGUGCUGCCUGUAGCUCCGUCGUGGGGACGUAAAAACCUGGGAGGCUGCAAACUGUGGAAGCUGUACGCACAGUAUAGCAGACUAGUGGUUAGAGG